UUGCGACCCCAGGUCAGGCGGGGUUA
rnacentral:rRNA from 3 species